rnacentral:lncRNA from 1 species
ACCAACUGUAUUUCGUAUUAACAAAAAAUGUACACACAACACUUGACAAUACCAUUAUCACUAGGUGGCUCAGGUUGUUUGCUAGAUUAGUAAGCAUUGAUUAACUUUCUGUGUACCCCAGCGCUACUAAAUUAGUAUCAUCUUCAUUUUCCUAGGUUCCUUUUAAAUGCACCACCCAGAUGGCCACAUCUCUGGACUAUAAAACAACGUAUUGACCUACCACCACACGCAAAACCAGGCUAAAAUCCAUUUUAACACAACUUCUAAAUUCUACAGUAGGAUCAUUCAUUCCUACUCAAAUAGAAAAGUUGGCCAAAAUCUCAUCCAAUGCAACAACCUGUAAUUUUAAUGUCAUUAGUGGAUUCCAACAAAGCAACAAGUGAUUAUAUUGAAUAAUAUAAAGGGAGUGGUCAGGAAUUUUAAAUUUAUUACUGCAUUUCAAUUGAGCAUCAAGCAUUCAAGCAAUGAAAGUAUAAUAAGAUAAAGAAUGGCCACUCUAUUUCAUACCAACUAAAAAUGUACGGAAGCGCACUCAUUGAUACAACUAUUGUCAGCCGGAUCAGUUUUUUUUUGCACCAUAACUUAUCAAUUUCCGAGGAUAGUAAGCAUCAAUGGAUUUCCUAUGUGACCAGGUGCUCCUUAAAGCCAUUUUUCCUUAUAACUGGUGAAUUAUUCUUCACUAAAUUAAAAGGCAGAGCUCCUACUGGUUGCCCCUUUUUCCCAUUUUAGUGUAAGGAUUCCCUAUUUCACAGCAGAAUCCAUUUUAAUAGUAGGUAAGCAUAUUUUCUACAAAUAAUCAAAUAUAUUCAUUCCUAUGAUACCUUCAAGCAUUGCAUAUCCAACCAAGAAUGAUGGUGAAUGGAAGAAGAAGAAAAAAAAUCGCAGCAUAACUUAUCAUUUUCCUAGGUUAAUAAGCAUCAAUGUACUUCCUAUGUGCUCAGGUGUUCCCUAAAUCCUGACCUAUAUCCCCCUUUCCGGACUCUUUUGAGAUUCAUGUGCACCAAACUGACAAAUUGCAACUAACAUAUGGACAGUAACAAAUCACAGGAUACCACAAAAAUACAAAAGAAUUAUCCAGACAAUCUUCUGACGAGCUUUCACCACAACAAGCCAGCCUGACCACCUAGUUACCACUGCAGUAAACGGGAUCACAAUCCCUAAAUGACAGAAGCUAAAGCCAAUUUUCUUUUUAGCUGGUCAAUUAUUCUCCGACUCAAUUAAGACAAAGCACUAACCAGUUGCCAGAAAAUAAUAAUCCAUUUAGCAUAGAAAUUCCCUGUUAUCUGCAGAAUCCAUUUUAAUACUCCCUCCGUCCCGAAAUAAGUUGUACUAAUCAGCGACACUUAUUUUGCGACAGAGGGAGUAGAGAUUUAGCAUAUUUCCCACAGAUAAUCAGAUAAAUUCAAUCCUAUGAUACCUUCAAGUGUUGCAUAUCACACCAAGCACGAUGACAAGUGGAAGUAAGAAGAAUAACCAACUUUAUUUCAUACUAACUCAAAAUGUGUAGAUGCGCACUUGCCAAAUACUGCCUCUGUUCCAAAAUACCUUGCACAUUAGGUUUCGUUAGGACAAGUCUUUGCAUUACACUAAGCAUGUAAAUUUUGUGAUAGAAAAUCAUAAGCACAGAUAAGUAUUUUAGAAUAUGAAUCUAAUGGCAUGAAUUCUAUGUCACAAAAGAUAUACUCCCUCCGUCCAGAAAUACUUGUCCUAUAAAUGCAUGUAUCUAGACUUAUUUUAGUUAUAGAUACAUCCAUUUUAAUCAUUUCUAGGACAAGUAUUUUCGGACGGAGGGAGUAUAUGAAUAGAGUAAUUGUUGGUCAAAAGCUUGUCCUAACAAAACCUAACAGACAACGUAUUUGGGAUCAGAGGGAGUACCACUAUCAUCAACUCAUUAUGUGGAUCAAGUUACUGGGCAGCAUAACUUAUUUAUCUCCUGGGCUUGUAAGCAUUGAUGAAUUUACGUGUGAUCAAGUGCUGCCUAAAUUAGCAGCCUAACUUCAUUUUACCAGAUUCUCUACAUGUGCACUAAUAUUCACACCGCAUCUAGGCCGUAACAGCUUCACACCAGGUAACUAUCGAUAAAUAAGUUCUCUAGACACCUCUUUAGAUAGACUUACGCCACUGCUAGCAAGCGUGAGGCAAAAGAAAAUCACACUACUCAAUCUAGAGAUACCAAAAUCCAUUUUAACAGAACAGUUCCCCAAUUCCAGAGUUUUACCGAAAUGGCCACCAAAUUUUGACCCUGUGAUAACAAAACGAGUAAAAUCAUAUCAUGAAUUCCUCACUACCGUGCAGCAAGGCACCCCAUUUAUUACACCAAGGCCAGACAUUGCCCACACCAAGUGCAGCUCACUCACGGGAGAUUAGAUAGAGAAAGUUAAAAGGAAAGAUGCAACACUUGCGGCAGAGAAACGGGGAGAAACGAUGACGCAUCCUACCACUACAGCUUGUACUNNNNNNNNNNNNNNNNNNNNNNNNNNNNNNNNNNNNNNNNNNNNNNNNNNNNNNNN